rnacentral:rRNA from 1 species
UACGUAUGGUGCGAACGUUGUUCGGAAUCACUGGGCAUAAAGAGCACGUAGGCGGUUAAGCAAGUCCAUUGUGAAAUCCCCCGGCCUAACCGGGGAACUGCAUUGGAUACUACUUGACUUGAGUGCAGGAGGGGGAGAGUGGAAUUCCAGGUGGAGCGGUGAAAUGCGUAGAUAUCUGGAGGAACGCCGGCGGCGAAAGCGACUCCCUGGUCUGUAACUGACGCUGAGGUGCGAAAGCUAGGGGAGCAACGGGG